UGAGGAAUAUUGGUCAAUGGGCGGAAGCCUGAACCAGCCAAGUAGCGUGCAGGAUGACGGCCCUACGGGUUGUAAACUGCUUUUUUGCGGGAAUAAAGUGGCCCACGUGUGGGCCUUUGCAUGUACCGCACGAAUAAGGACCGGCUAAUUCCGUGCC
rnacentral:rRNA from 1 species